rnacentral:lncRNA from 1 species
GUCUUCUCCCUGUGGCGGUGGUGAGUGUAAUGCCUCAGAAGACUCUGCCAGGGCAUUAAACAAAGUCAUACGCGAACCCCCCGGUGCACGGCAGUGGCAGAGGAGGUGAAGCCACGGGCCUUGAUGCUGUCAAGGUCUCGGGAGCCCUCCUCGCUGCGCUGGCCCCUGCUGCAGAGCCCGUCAUCAGAAGAAAGUGAUUUUUUUCCUAUGGGUUCUGACAGUUAAGGCCCUGGUGCCUCUUGAUGGCAAUCAGAGGGACUGGAAAACUCACUCUCUGCCUCAUUCCAACACUACCUACGGGUGGGACCCUCCCUGGGCCUCCUGGCCUGCAGCCUGGGGUCUCCAAGCUGCCUCAGGGCUUUCCGUCCCAUGUUCUGCCCGAGCCCUGAGCGGCCCUGUUGACUUGGGACAUGUGCCCCUUGGCUUGGCAGGGCUGCUGCUUCUCCCUUUCCAUCUCAUUGCUUCAAGCACAGACCAUUCCACAAUCACAAUGUAUUUACUUUCCAAAGCUGUGGAUACCAAAGGAAAAACUGUGGUAGCAGAGUACGGUGUAAUUAACGUGGAAUGUACCAGGGGAACCGAGGACAUGGCAGACAGACACCGCGUUCUCAAACAACCGCUUGCUGUUGAAGAGGGUCUAUUUUCUCCUCUCCCUCUCCCUUCCCAAGAGAUUAAAAUAAUAAACUCUAAGAAAUAAAUAAACGUGCUCAGCUU